rnacentral:ncRNA from 1 species
UUGAUAUUUAUAUAGUAUAUAACUAUUGGUACUAAAUUUCUUUAUGAUUUAAAAUAAAAAAAGUAUUUCAGAAGAAUAUAUUAUUUUUUUUUAAAUUAAAAAAUAGAAUUUAGAAAAAAAUCUGGCGAAGCCUGUGCCAGCCGCCGCGGUUAUACAGGCAGGUAUAAUAGUUUAUUUAAAAAAGAUAAUUUUUUUUUAUUAAAAAAAGUUUUUUUAGGUGGAAUUUUUAAACUUGUUUUUUUAUUUGAAUCUUAAAAAUUUAAUUAUAUAAACUAGGAUUAGAUACCCUAUUAUUUUUAAAAGUAAGAUUGAUAGUAAGUAUAAUGUAUGAAAUCAAAAGAUUUUGGCGGUACUUUAAGCUUGUUAGAGGAAUUUGCUCUUUAAUUGAUAAAACACCAAAAUCUUACUUGAAUUGGUUAAGACAGUUUGUAUAUUGCUAUCAUAAAAUUAUAUUGAAUGAUAAUAAUUAAAAUAGGGUUUUCCUAAAAUGUUAGGUCAAAAUGCAGUUUAUAUUUAAGUUUGAAGUGAAUUACGAUAAUUAAUAUUAGAUAUUUAUGAAAAAUUAAAUAGGAUUUAAAAGUAAAUUUUAAAUUAUAAUGUUUAAUUGAAGAAAGCUCUAAGGUAUGUACAUAUCGCCCGUCACUCUCAUUUUUUGAGAUAAGUCGUAACAAAGUAAGUGUACCGGAAGGUGUACU